rnacentral:rRNA from 1 species
CUAACGUCCGUCGUGAAGAGGGAAACAACCCAGACCGCCAGCUAAGGUCCCAAAGUCAUGGUUAAGUGGGAAACGAUGUGGGAAGGCCCAGACAGCCAGGAUGUUGGCUUAGAAGCAGCCAUCAUUUAAAGAAAGCGUAAUAGCUCACUGGUCGAGUCGGCCUGCGCGGAAGAUGUAACGGGGCUAAACCAUGCACCGAAGCUGCGGCAGCGACACUAUGUGUUGUUGGGUAGGGGAGCG